rnacentral:misc_RNA from 1 species
GAUGAAGAACGCAGCGAAAUGCGAUAAGUAAUGUGAAUUGCAGAAUUCAGUGAAUCAUCGAAUCUUUGAACGCACCUUGCGCCUUUUGGUAUUCCGAAAGGCACACCUGUUUAAGCGUCAUGAAUACCUCAAUCUCCAUCUUUUCUUCGGAUUGAUGGGUGACUUGGAUGUUGAGCCCUGCUGGUAUGCUAUAUCAGCUGGCUUUAAACUUAUUAGCCGGCUCUGUACUGGAUCGGUUUGACUCGACGUGAUAAUAUUAUCGUUGAGGAUGCAUGUCUCAUGCAGCCGGAAAGUAUCAAAGCAGCUUCUAGCUUGCCUUUAGUGCACUUUUACAUUUUAGACCUCAGAUCAGGUGGGACUACCCGCUGAACUUAAGCAUAUCAAUAAGCGGAGGA